rnacentral:rRNA from 1 species
GCAAGUCGAACGGUCAAAAUGAAGGGUGCUUGCACCUUGAAAGACGAGUGGCGAACGGGUGAGUAACACGUAGGUACCUGCCCUAAAGUGGGGGACAACCUUUGGAAACGAAGGCUAAUACCGCAUAAUCCGGCAACGGAAAAGAAUGCUCUGCAUUCGCUUUAGGAUGGACCUGCGGUCUAUCAGCUUGUUGGUAAGGUAACGGCUUACCAAGGCUUCGACGGAUAGCCGGCCCGAGAGGGUGAGC